UUGCACGCUGGCGGCAGGCCUAACCCCUGCCGGUCGAACGGUAACAGAAAGCAGCUUGCUGCUUUGCUGACGAGUGGCGGACGGGUGAGUAAUGUCUAGGAAACUGCCUGAUGGAGGGGGAUAACUACUGGAAACGGUAGCUAAUACUGCAUAACGUCGCAAGACCAAAGAGGGGGACCUUCGGGCCUCUUGCCAUCGGAUGUGCCCAGAUGGGAUUAGCUAGUAGGUGGGGUAACGGCUCACCUAGGCGACGAUCCCUAGCUGGUCUGAGAGGAUGACCAGCCACACUGGAACUGAGACACGGUCCAGACUCCUACGGGAGGCAGCAGUGGGGAAUAUUGCACAAUGGGCGCAAGCCUGAUGCAGCCAUGCCGCGUGUAUGAAGAAGGCCUUCGGGUUGUAAAGUACUUUCAGCGGGGAGGAAGGGAGUAAAGUUAAUACCUUUGCUCAUUGACGUUACCCGCAGAAGAAGCACCGGCUAACUCCGUG
rnacentral:rRNA from 1 species